CCUACGGGUGGCUACAGUGGGGAAUAUUGGACAAUGGGCGAAAGCCUGAUCCAGCCAUGCCGCGUGUGUGAAGAAGGCCUUCGGGUUGUAAAGCACUUUCAGUGGGGAAGAAAGCCUUGGGGCUAAUACCCUCGAGGAAGGACAUCACCCACAGAAGAAGCACCGGCUAACUCCGUGCCAGCAGCCGCGUUAAUACGGAGGGUGCGAGCGUUAAUCGGAAUUACUGGGCGUAAAGCGCGCGUAGGCGGUCUGAUAAGCCGGUUGUGAAAGCCCCGGGCUCAACCUGGGAACGGCAUCCGGAACUGUCAGGCUAGAGUGCAGGAGAGGAAGGUAGAAUUCCCGGUGUAGCGGUGAAAUGCGUAGAGAUCGGGAGGAAUACCAGUGGCGAAGGCGGCCUUCUGGACUGACACUGACGCUGAGGUGCGAAAGCGUGGGUAGCAAACAGGAUUAGCUACCCCAGUAGUC
rnacentral:rRNA from 1 species